CCUACGGGGGGCAGCAGUGGGGAAUAUUGCACAAUGGACGAAAGUUUGAUGCAGCGACGCCGCGUGGAGGGUGUAGGCCUUCGGGUUGUGAACUCCUUUUUCUAGCGAAAAAGGCACGGUUUUGGCCGUGUUGAUGGUAGUUGGGGAAGAAGCGCCGGCUAACUACGUGCCAGCAGCCGCGGUAAUACGUAGGGCGCGAGCGUUGUCCGGAUUUAUUGGGCGUAAAGAGCUCGUAGGUGGUUCGUCGCGUCUGUCGUGAAAGCCAGCAGCUUAACUGUUGGUCUGCGGUGGGUACGGGCGGGCUUGAGUGCGGUAGGGGAGAUUGGAAUUCCUGGUGUAGCGGUGGAAUGCGCAGAUAUCAGGAGGAACACCGAUGGCGAAGGCAGGUCUCUGGGCCGUUACUGACGCUGAGGAGCGAAAGCGUGGGGAGCGAACAGGAUUAGAUACCCCGGUAGUC
rnacentral:rRNA from 1 species